AAGAAGGGAGAGAAGGUUAAAUACGAGGUGGAGGAGUUCACCAGCGUCUAUGAGGAGGUGGAUGAAGAGCAGUACUCGAAAAUGGUGCGGGAGAGACAGGAUGAUGAUUGGAUCAUUGAUGAUGAUGGGACAGGGUAUGUGGAGGAUGGCAGAGAAAUCUUUGAUGAAGAUUUGGAUGAUGACGCAUUGGAGAAGAAUUCUAAAAGUAAACAAGGUGGAAAGGGAGGGGA